CCGACCUUAGCUCAGUUGGAAGAGCACGAGACUGUAACUGGCUAAACAAGCGUAAAUAACGCAUCUCGGGGUCGCCUGUUCGAACCAGGCAGGUCGGA